AGGAGACCUUGGCUUCCGGCUCUGAAGCAGGUUCAAGCUGCUGCUCCAGGGGGUUGGGGUGUGCAGCUGCUUCUAGUGCCUGAAGUACUAUGUCAGCAUAAGAAAUCAGCUCCUGGAAGGAGGAAACAAGCGAACCAUUUGUUACAGUGGCUUCAGGAUCCAGGAGCAAUUACUUUGAUGACACCCCCUGACUGGAUGGAAUCUUUGAGGUGGUCUAACUACCCUUCCCCCUUGGGAUUGGAUUCAGCCCAGCCACAGGAAGAGAGUCGUAGAAAAGAUCACAGGGAGCUCUGGGUCAGUGCCAUGUAAGUGUUCUGGCUUGAUAGAGGUAUCACCAUGACUUACCAGGCUAGAAGUAAAACGUCCCCGGAUCACCCGGACUAGGUCCUUAAUGCCUCCAGACUCCAGCUCUGGCAGGAUCUCCUCUGCAGGAGCAGAGUAGGUGAUGAGGUUCAGGAUCCCUGCCCACCAGCCAGAUAAGGUCAGUCGGGUGCUACUUUUGUUUGGAAUGAAUGAGUGGGAAGUCACAGGGGUUUGAGACCAGGCUCUGGGGCUCCUUCCCUUCCUGCCAGGGAAAGGACAAGGAAAGGGUCCUCACUGUAGGAAGCCAGGUGGGCCAACAGCAUGCAGAGGUUCUCAACCACCUCAGGGUCAUCCUUGUAGAGCUCGUAGAUAUCUUGGAGGAGGUAGAGGCCACUGCUGCCUUCUUCCAGUACUGCCACUUUGAAGGCCACCAGUUCUGGGGGAGGGAAGCAAGGGAAUUUGGGUUUUUAGUAUAGUCUAGCAUAGUUCCUUUGCAGCUGCCCUUUCUUCUGAGCCCCCUGUGCCCAGUGUCCCUGGGAAGUAGCAUGACUCUGGUCCUAGGGUUGCUGGAAGAGCCCUCUUUGGCCAGGAAUCCCAGCCUUCUGUGGAGGAAGCUCCUGAAGUCAGGGCUGUCCCCUGCUCUGGAGAAUGUUGAAGAGGUGACUGCACCACUUUGCCUCUCUACAGCCUAGCUUUGCAUCCGUUGGCAGCGAGCCCCAUGCCCGAGGGAAACACAGCACUUGUGUUCCUCCUCCCGUCAGAGAAAUGGAGGCUGUGAUGUGGCACUGUGGAGAGGAGCUCUGCUGCAGCCUACAGAGCACAAGCCUUGUUGCCUGAUGUGUCCAGGGUCACCCUCCCUGUUACCAAGACCUCAGGCUGCUCACCCAACAAUGACAGCAGCCAGAGCACUGCACAGCCAGCCUCAGCUAUUUCCACAUCCUCGGGAUGCUUGGCCAGCACCAAGAUGACCACAGGUGAGAACUUCUGCAAGGGCUCUUUGUCCACAGUAGCAGCUAGCACCAGGACAAGGAUGGGAGACAACAGGCCAGGUAUGAGCAGAAGUACCUGCUGUCUCUGUACCCCUCCACACUGCUCCCUCCCACCAAGAACAACAGAGGAGAAUCAAGGGGAUAGAUGUCCUCAGAGAUGGAAACGGGCUUUCCAAUGCCACAGUCUGCGGUAGACUCAUCAGCAGAGAUGAGGACUUUUUGCAUUUGUGGCUUCUGCAGUUUUCUGGGGUUGCCAUGGCUUGGAGCCCUCUUUCCUAGGGUAAGACAGUAUCUAGAAGAGGUGGGAGAGCAGACCUCGGAACCUCCAUCCUAAACCAAAAACCAGAACAGGGCAUCAAGUUCUGGCUGACCUCUAAAGCCAGGGGCUGCCUACUCAUUGCACAAGGCGUCCUGAAGGCCUUCCUCUCUUACCUCACUUGUGUCUCACUGUGCCUAUGUGCUAGACUCUCAGAAGAGCCCCAAGGGGCUGGGGUUGCCCUCCUGUGCUUAAGGGAUAAGAUAGAGAGUAGCAGCAGCUCUCUACCUGUGGGCUGCAACAGACUGAGAACUGUGGUGGUGUUGUGUUCCCCAAAAUACUGUGCCCGCUAAUAAACUUAUCUGGGGUCAGAGACAGAACAGCCACAAUAUUAAACAUAGAGGAUAGGCAGUGGUAGCACACGCCUUUAAUCCUAGCAUUCCAGAGGCAGAAAUCCAUGUGUUCAAGGAUACAGCCAAGCAUGGUGACUCACUCCUUUAAUCCCAGAGAGUGGUGGUAGAAAGCAGAAAGGUAUAUAAGGAGUGAGGACCAAAAACUAGAAGCAUUUGGCUGAUUAAGCUUUUAGCUGGUUAAGCUUCAGGCUUUCAAGCAGCAGUUCAGCUGAGAGCCAUUGGGAUGAGGACACAGAAGCUUCCAGUCUGAGGAAACAAGACCAGCUGAGAAGUUGGCCAGGUGAGGUUAGCUGUGGCUUGUUCUGUCUCUCUGAUCUUCCAAGUGUUCACCCCAA